AGAUGACAGGAGACUCCAGUUUGCUGGCUGCAGUCCUGACUGUGGUGUCGGUCAUAUCGCUGAGUCUGCUUUCCCUUCUGUGUUUGCGAUGCAAAAAGAAAUCCAAAAUCAUGCUGGAGUCUCAAAUAUAUGACCCACAAAUUUUCCAACGAGGCGGGAGUAAAUUUGCAGUUAUCCGUUCAAAAACAGUCACCAGAGGAAAUCUGAUCUCCUCAGACACAGAUGAGACUCUGGAGCAGUCUGCCUUCCAAGACGGUGAAACGGAGGAACAGGGCGACUAUCUGAACAUUACAGUACCAACAGUCAGCUCCAACCUGGAACAUGAUUAUGUAGCUCCAAUCGCUGUGGCUUUGUAUGAAAAUCAGAAGAACAGAACACUUGAUGAUGAACAAACUCCCGGCAUUUAUGGAAAUGUUUUCCUGUCGCUGUCAAUAGAAGAAGCAGACGAUGAUUAUGAAAACGCUGCAUUCCUGCAACAGAUAGAUGAUGAACCAGAUUAUGUGAAUGAAAAUGGGAAAAGCUCCUGAACGCACCACCACUCUGAUCCACGAGUUUGU
rnacentral:lncRNA from 1 species